rnacentral:rRNA from 1 species
CGGCGGACGGGUGAGUAACGCGUGGGUAACCUGCCUCAUACAGGGGGAUAACAGUUGGAAACGGCUGCUAAUACCGCAUAAGCGCACAGUACCGCAUGGUACCGUGUGAAAAACUCCGGUGGUAUGAGAUGGACCCGCGUCUGAUUAGCUAGUUGGUGGGGUAACGGCCUACCAAGGCGACGAUCAGUAGCCGACCCGAGAGGGUGACCGGCCACAUUGGGACUGAGACACGGCCCAA